UACGUAGGGGGCAAGCGUUGUCCGGAUUUAUUGGGCGUAAAGCGCUCGCAGGUGGUUCGUCGCGUCGUGCGUGAAAGACCCCGGCUCAACUGGGGAGGGUCGUGCGAUACGGGCGAACUGGAGGCCAGUAGGGGGAUGCGGAAUUCCGGGUGUAGUGGUGGAAUGCGUAGAGAUCCGGAGGAACACCAGCGGCGAAGGCGGCAUCCUGGACUGGUCCUGACACUCAGGAGCGAAAGCGUGGGGAGCGAGUCCGG
rnacentral:rRNA from 1 species